rnacentral:rRNA from 1 species
GAUGAACGCUGGCGGCGUGCCUAAUACAUGCAAGUCGAGCGAACAGACGAGGAGCUUGCUCCUCUGACGUUAGCGGCGGACGGGUGAGUAACACGUGGAUAACCUACCUAUAAGACUGGGAUAACUUCGGGAAACCGGAGCUAAUACUGGAUAAUAUAUUGAACCGCAUGGUUCAAUAGUGAAAGACGGUUUUGCUGUCACUUAUAGAUGGAUCCGCUCCGCAUUAGCUAGUUGGUAAGGUAACGGCUUACCAAGGCAACGAUGCGUAGCCGACCUGAGAGGGUGAUCGGCCACACUGGAACUGAGACACGGUCCAGACUCCUACGGGAGGCAGCAGUAGGGAAUCUUCCGCAAUGGGCGAAAGCUUGACGGAGCAACGCCGCGUGAGUGAUGAAGGUCUUCGGAUCGUAAAACUCUGUUAUUAGGGAAGAACAAAUGUGUAAGUAACUAUGCACGUCUUGACGGUACCUAAUCAGAAAGCCACGGCUAACUACGUG